UUUUUUGUCGUGCACGCCCGAGUGCUCUCAAACAAUCCAUCUCACCCUAUGUGCACCACCGCGUGGGUCCCCCUUUUGGCUCGUUCCGAGGGGGGCUUGCGUUUUCACACAAACUUAAAUACAGUGUAGAAUGUCUUUUGCGAUAACACGCAAUUAAUACAACUUUCAACAACGGAUCUCUUGGCUCUCGCAUCGAUGAAGAACGCAGCGAAAUGCGAUACGUAAUGUGAAUUGCAGAAUUCAGUGAAUCAUCGAAUCUUUGAACGCACCUUGCGCCCCUUGGCAUUCCGAGGGGCACACCCGUUUGAGUGUCGUGAAAUUCUCAAAAGCCUUUCUUUUGAAAGGAUUUUGGACAUGGAGGCUUUUGCUGGCUUCACCUCGAAGCCAGCUCCUCUUAAACAAAUUAGUGGGGUCUGCUUUGCCGAUCCUCGACGUGAUAAGAUGUUUCUACGUCUGGGGUUCGGUGAUGUCUUUUGGGCACCUGCUUCUAAUCGUCUCAUCGACAAUGAUGGCGUUCCGGUCACCGCCGUUUCAUCGGUCGGUCGGCUUGACCCACCAAAAAAACUUGACCUCAAAUCGGGGAG
rnacentral:rRNA from 1 species